rnacentral:misc_RNA from 1 species
UACGGAGGGUGCAAGCGUUAAUCGGAAUCACUGGGCGUAAAGGGCGCGUAGGCGGCUUGGUAAGUCGGAUGUGAAAGCCCCGGGCUUAACCUGGGAAUUGCAUACGAUACUGCUUAGCUAGAGUGCGAUAGAGGGAAGUGGAAUUUCCGGUGUAGCGGUGAAAUGCGUAGAUAUCGGAAGGAACACCAGUGGCGAAGGCGGCUUCCUGGAUCGACACUGACGCUGAGGCGCGAAAGCGUGGGUAGCAAACAGG